UACGGAGGGUGCAAGCGUUAUCCGGAUUCAUUGGGUUUAAAGGGUGCGUAGGCGGGGCAGUAAGUCAGUGGUGAAAGCCUGCGGCUUAACCGUAGAACUGCCAUUGAUACUGUUGCCCUUGAGUGCAGGCGAGGUGAGCGGAAUGAGGCAUGUAGCGGUGAAAUGCUUAGAUAUGCCUCAGAACACCUAUUGCGAAGGCAGCUCACUAGACUGUUACUGACGCUGAUGCACGAAAGCGUGGGGAGCGAACAGG
rnacentral:misc_RNA from 1 species